UCAUUUUUUUGUUUUUGUAAUUUCUUAUUCAAGAUCUAAUGAUAAUUUCUUGGCGUCGGCACGUACCAAGCGUCAAAGGGUCCUGCAGCCGAAUGAUAUAUGAUAUAUAGUGUGGGUCAUAUGAUAAAUGGUUGUGUUUGGUAUGCAAGACUUCGACACGGACCGCACAGACAUUCUCCAAUGGACGCCGAUUCGCUCCAUGGAAAUCUGCAGCAGAGGGAAGUGAAUCGAGGGACUUUUUAUUCAGAUCGAAUCGCAAUGGAUCGGAACGGAUCGUAUAGUCAUGAUUACUUUAAUUAAAAUGCAAGUGCUGUUCGGGUAGGCAGGACGGGAGGCAGUGCUAAGUGCCGUCGGAAUAUUGAUCUUUCAGUUUGGGAUUAGGGUGGACUAGGUGCUGAUUUAGGGAUCGGCGUCGUAAAAGCGAUGCCAAGUUCUUUAUGCGAUCGGUGCAUAAAAUGCGAAAUCUGGAUUACGCCAAUAUAGAACCCUAAUAAAAAGGAAUGCGCGAAGUGUUGCGUCUGAUUGGGUUUUCCCACGGCCGGACAGGCAGGCAGGCAAGCGGGCAAGUGGGCAGGCAGCCGAGGCUGAGGCGAUGGCGGACGGACGCACGGACGGAGGGACAGACGAAGGAUCGCUUGGGCUACCUUCGCGCAAAGUGCGGAACUGAAGGAAACAAAACGCCGCGAACCAAGCGACGGAUUGUGCACUAAGUUGCUUAAUCCGACGGGAAAUCCAAAACAAAUGCCGCCGGAUGGUGUGCGCGACUGUGGGUAGCAGUGUGUGCAUGUGUGUGUGCGUGUGUGUGGUUAUAUUUGGCUACAGCUUGGCUUUCGCAUCGAUCAGUUGCCAAAGUCGAGGUCGCACUGUAUACAAGCAAAGCACACACACACACGCAUAACUUAUAGAGAAUCGCAUGCAUGCUCGCGCAUGUGUGUGUGUGUGCAUGUGCCAAUUGUCGGUUGGUUCAUUUUGGAGCUGGUGAACUCAUCAGCACAACGAGGAAGGGGGCCACAGUGCAGCUUCUGCAUAUGCUGCUAAAAACACAAAAAAAAGUAAACAGCAAAAAAAAAAAACAUCAU